rnacentral:rRNA from 1 species
CCUACGGGUGGCAGCAGUGGGGAAUAUUGCACAAUGGGGGAAACCCUGAUGCAGCAACGCCGCGUGAGUGAAGACGUAUUUCGGUAUGUAAAGCUCUAUCAGCAGGGAAGAAGAUGACGGUACCUGAUUAAGAAGCCCCGGCUCACUACGUGCCAGCAGCCCCGGUCAAAGGUCGGGGGCAAGCGUGGUCCGGAUUUACGGGGUGUAAAGGGGGCGGAGUCGGUAGCGCAAGUCUGGAGGUAAAGCCAGGGGGCCAACCCCGGAACUGCUCUGGAAACUGUGCGGCUAGAGUACUGGAGGGGCAGGCGGAAUACCUAGGGUAGCGGUGAAAUGCGUAGAUAUUAGGAGGAACACCAGUGGCGAAGGCGGCCUGCUGGACAGUAACUGACGCUGAGGCUCGAAAGCGUGGGUAGCAAACAGGAUUAGAUACCCGUGUAGUC